GUGGGGAAUAUUGGACAAUGGGCGAAAGCCUGAUCCAGCCAUGCCGCGUGUGUGAAGAAGGUCUUCGGAUUGUAAAGCACUUUAAGUUGGGAGGAAGGGCAGUAAGUUAAUACCUUGCUGUUUUGACGUUACCGACAGAAUAAGCACCGGCUAACUUCGUGCCAGCAGCCGCGGUAAUACGAAGGGUGCAAGCGUUAAUCGGAAUUACUGGGCGUAAAGCGCGCGUAGGUGGUUUUGUAAGUUGGAGGUGAAAUCCCCGGGCUCAACCUGGGAACUGCCUCCGAAACUGCAUGACUAGAGUACGGUAGAGGGUAGUGGAAUUUCCUGUGUAGCGGUGAAAUGCGUAGAUAUAGGAAGGAACACCAGUGGCGAAGGCGACCACCUGGACUGAUACUGACACUGAGGUGCGAAAGCGUGGGGAGCAAACAGGAUUAGAAACCCGGGUAGUCC
rnacentral:rRNA from 1 species